rnacentral:rRNA from 1 species
GACGAACGCUGGCGGCAUGCCUAACACAUGCAAGUCGAACGAGACCUUCGGGUCUAGUGGCGCACGGGUGCGUAACGCGUGGGAACCUGCACUUAGGUUCGGAAUACCUCCCCGAAAGGGGUGCUAAUACCGGAUAAUGUCUUCGGACCAAAGAUUUAUCGCCUUUGGAUGGGCCCGCGUUGGAUUAGCUAGUUGGUAGGGUAAAAGCCUACCAAGGCGACGAUCCAUAGCUGGUCUGAGAGGAUGGUCAGCCACACUGGGACUGAGACACGGCCCAGACUCCUACGGGAUGCAGCAGUGGGUAAUAUUGGACAAUGGGCGAAAGCCUGAUCCAGCAAUGCCGCGUGAGUGAUGAAGGCCUUAGGGUUGUAAAGCUCUUUUACCCGUGAUGAUAAUGACAGUACCGGGAGAAUAAGCUCCGGCUAACUCCGUG